UACGAGGGGUGCAAGCGUUGCUCGGAAUUAUUGGGCGUAAAGGGUAGGUAGGCGGUCUCAUUUGUCAGGGGUGAAAUCCUUGGGCUUAACUCAAGAAGUGCCCCUGAAACGGUGAGACUGGAGUCCUGGAGAGGUGAGUGGAAUUCCCGGUGUAGCGGUGAAAUGCGUAGAGAUCGGGAGGAACACCAGAGGCGAAGGCGGCUCACUGGACAGGUACUGACACUCAACUACGAAAGCGUGGGGAGCAAACAGG
rnacentral:rRNA from 1 species